UACGUAGGGGGCAAGCGUUGUCCGGAAUCAUUGGGCGUAAAGAGCGCGUAGGCGGCCCAGUAAGUCCGCUCUGAAAGUCAGGGGCUCAACCCCUGAAUGCGGGUGGAUACUGCUGGGCUAGAGUACGGAAGAGGCGAGUGGAAUUCCUGGUGUAGCGGUGGAAUGCGCAGAUAUCAGGAGGAACACCAAUAGCGAAGGCAGCUCGCUGGGACGUCACUGACACUGAGGCGCGAAAGCGUGGGGAGCGAACAGG
rnacentral:rRNA from 1 species